rnacentral:rRNA from 1 species
GACGUAGGGCGCGAGCGUUGUCCGGAUUUAUUGGGCGUAAAGAGCUCGUAGGCGGCUUGUCGCGUCGACUGUGAAAUCCCGUGGCUCAACUGCGGGCUUGCAGCCGAUACGGGCAGGCUAGAGUUCGGUAGGGGAGACUGGAAUUCCUGGUGUAGCGGUGAAAUGCGCAGAUAUCAGGAGGAACACCGGUGGCGAGGGCGGGUC